rnacentral:lncRNA from 1 species
AAUACAGCCCCCACCACCACCUGCCGGCCACCCCACACGGUCCAGGGCGCACAGCCCAAGACCAGGACGUGGACAUGGCUGGCUGCACGGCCCACAGCCUCCCCUGUCCACAAUGACACACUCCUGAGGUCGUGGGCCCCUGGCCAGGACGCCCACUCAGGACAUGCAGCCUACCUCUUCGUCGGAACUGUCUUCCGCGUACUCGUCCUCGCCAGGCACGCUUGCCACCUGCGUCCUCGGGGAAGGGGUCCCGGCCUGAGCAGAGAAGGGGAGACGCGUUACAUCCAGACACCGACGCCCUCUGAUCCGGGGCGCCCCGCCCCUCCCGCCAACCCUGAGGCCGAGGUCCCCACACCCCGAUCUCUAUCUCCAACCUGACCCUGCCCCGGACAAGACUGGGGACACCCCACAUCUAAGUGGGCCUCUCGGGGGGGUCCCACCAGGGGUCUACUGUCAAAGGCUGGACCCAGAACCACGUCCAAGCUCGGGGGAGGCCCCCAGGGGGACUGACACCUGGAAAAGGAGCAUUCGGCCACCCCCGCACCCUUAACGAAGAAACCGGCUGCAGGGCUCCCGGCCCAAAGGCUCCGCUGGGCCCAGAGCCAGCCCAGGGUCGGCAGCAAGGCAGGGGUGGCCACGAGGCUGUGGCAGGUGAGGGCCGGGGGACACCCCCACCUGGUCCAGUCCACAGCUGGCCCAGCCCUAUGGCAAGACCCUCGCCCCGAGGAGGCCACGUCCAGCCUGGCUGGCCAGGGGCCCUCAGGACGCUGGGAGGCCACAGCCCCAGGCCGACCCCGCCUACUGCGCCAGAGAGUGGGUGCCACUGGGCACUCACACCCCAACCUGGAAAACAGAUUCUCCUCUCUCGGGGUGGGGGCGGCUGUGCCGGAACUGGGGCGAUGGAGAAAACAGGCCCAUCUCAGCCCUGGAGCAGAGCAUCAGGAGCAGGGCGCCUGAGCCCCGCGAGGCAGCUCAGCCUCCGACCUGUCUUCCCCGAGUGGGUUUUUCCAGGCCAGGAACCAGGCGGGAUCCAGUCUCCGUGCGUCCCCACCUCUGGCUCUCGGUGCUGCAGGUCACAGAAAGUGGGUCAGCACUGCCUGGGGGCGCAGAGGGCAGCCCACAGCUCUCCUCCCAUCCUCAGCCGGGGCAACAACCCCCCCACAACGCCAGGCCGCAGCGGCUGGGCUCGCAGCAGGGUCCACAGCGCUGGCCUCAGUGCUCCACUGCCACCGCCCGCCAGCUGGGCCAGUGCUCCCCACAGCGCUCCUGCCCGCCCCCCCCCGCCGCCGCAGUCAUGGGCCCUUCAUCCCCCAGCGCUCCGGGCGCUCCACACUGCCCCCUGCCAGACACAGCAGGGCCUCGGCGAGGAAAGGGACACCAGGCAGGGGGGCUGUGAGUUCCUGGAUAAAAGAGCUGCACACCCAACCCCAUGGGGCACCAGGGCUCCCGCAGAGGUGACUGCAGGGCCGAUGGCAGCCGCCAGGGGGCAGCAGUGCAGCGGGGCGCGGCCCAGCCCCGCCACCAGCUCUGGGACAGGCUGACCCAGCAGGCCCCGCCCGGCCGGCCCGCGGUGUUUAGGGAAGCAAACUCUUCCCGCCACUGCUCCGCUUCCUCUGAGCCGCCAGCCCUGGCCAACGCCCCUGGGCACAGACACAAGGCGGGGGUCCGCCCAGAGCACAGGCCGCCAGCACCUACCCCAAGAAGGGCUCAAGCCUGCCUGGCACAGGCUCCCAAAGGCAGCCACGUGGACAGUCAGGGGACAUGGGCGGGACCAGAGGAAAGUGUCCCUCUGGGGAGGGGUGAGCAGCCAGGCAGGGGUGUGAAGGCACCAACUGCCAUCAGCAGAGGAGGGCAGUCAGAACCGGGGUCAGCUCCCAGACACAGAAGGGCAGCCUCCGGGUGGACAGGGAGAGACGGGGCGCACCUGGAGCAAGGGCCUCAGGGGAGGCGCACGGGGGGCGUCCGGACCUGGUCCACAGAGUCAGGAACCUGCACUUGCCUCUCUGCCCACCCUCGAGAUUCCAGAGCAUUCCAACAGCCCCAGGUGGCACCUCAGCAAUGACACCUACCAGAUGGCAGCAGGCCCCGCCCCGUCACUGCCACUCCCAAGCAGGCACGCGACAACUUCAGGCCCACCUCCCGUGAGUAGGCCGGUGAUGGCCCCUGCGGUCAGCCGGGCAGAACCUUGCGCCCGCACUGCCUUCACUGCGGGGUCCGCUCAGGCCCGCCCACAGAAGGGAGACGGCCACCACACCCCACAGGUCACAGGGGGUGUCCAGACCGGACAAUGACACCACUAAGACUCUGCAGGGAGCCCAACAGAGACAGGCUGGCAUCAAAAGCACUUGGUGCAGGCAGCUUAUCUAACAGAAAAGGGAACUGAGGCCUAGGAGACCCGCCGGGUUUUUAAAGAAAAUACACCAGUGUGGCCUCAAAGGGCCAUAGAGAGAACAGGCCACAGAUCUGAGCGAAAGGAAGGCCACCCAGCAAGAGCAGAAGCCAGCCCCACACAAGGAAAUGGCUGCUGCAGCCAAUUUCAGGAACAUCACAGACCAGUGACUGCUCCGCACCACCUGCGGGGCCACGGCUGCCCCGCGCCGUGUGGGGGGGAGCCCGAGACCCUCACCUGUGCUUGGGCCUGACUGAGAUGAGAGCCUGGGGCUGAGAAAUACAGCGGGCACGGCAAAGGCAGGCGGUUCUGAAGGGUGGGAAGGACGCCUACUGUGCACGGGUUGGUGGGCGGUGGGGCACCUGUGACUGUGCGUCUGCUUGCAUUUUUGUCUUUUAGGGCCACACCUGCGGCAUGUGGAGAUUGCCACCCUAGAGAUGGAAUCAAAGCCGCAGCUGCCGGCCUACGCCCCAGCCACAGCACUGGAUCCAAGCCGCGCCUGCGAGCUACACUGCAGCUUGUGAAGGCCCACAAGCCGCCGGGUGAAACCAGGAAUAGAACCUGCACCUCGUGGCUACGAGUCGAAUGUUUAACCCACUGAGCCACAAUGGGAACUCUGGCUGUGCUGUUUUAAGCCAUGGCUACAAAUCUUUGACUUUCCUUCCAAUGAACGGCAAAGACUCUCUGCACAUCUGGGGGGCUUGUGACGGGUUUGCCAGCCCCAGUGGAGCAGCCCAAAGUGACAGACAGAACCCCGGGUCUAGGUCAUAAAGGACCUGCAGCUCCACCCAGGAUGCUGCCCGAAGCCCUGAGCGAGGGCACAGGCAGACAGGCCCAGGGAGAGCCAGCUACUCGGGUCACCCCAGCUGCACACAGGGGUUAGGAAGCCCCAGCCGUUCUCAUCUGUGACCCUCCCCUGAACCCCAGACAUGACCUGAGUGAUGAUUCUCCCAGGGCAGAGUGUCCCAGAACCCAGCAGGGCUGCAGGAGAAGCCGACGUGCUCCCUGUAGAGGAAGCCAGCUGGGGGAGGCCGCAGGACCCCUCAAACUCAUUGAUCGGUCACCCCAGAAGUGACACCACCACACCCUGCCCGAACUCUCAUCCCCAGAAAUGAGGGCCAUGAGGCGGCUGUAUGACGCCUCCAAGUGCUGGAGGAGGAGGCGGGACAGCUGCCCAGGGCCCCUCUCCAGGCACUGGGCCACAGGCUCGGCUCCAGGUACAGAUCCAGGCACAUCCUGCCUGGGGUGGCCGCCACAACCCAGCCCAUGAGAAUCACUGGGGGCGCCCCUCCCCACGCCCCCCCAGGCCCUAGGCUGCACCAGACAGCAUCGACACCCAGACUCCAAAGGACACAGUGACACUGCGGCCUAGACCCAAGACGCAGUCCACCCACCAUUCCCCAGAGCCUGGUGGAGGCCUGAUGGGUCCUCCGGCCCAAAGGUUUGCAGGAAGCUCGGUGCAGACAGUGCGGGCAGGACCCUGACGCCAGCUGGGGCGGAUGUUACGCGCAGGUCAGGCGUCGUUACCGGGUCUUCUGUUACAUCCUUGAAUGGGGCAAACAGACUGAACUAAGAAGAAUGGAAACUUCCACACAAACAAAAA